UAGAGAUAUUCGAUAAUGUUUUG
rnacentral:miRNA from 1 species